rnacentral:misc_RNA from 1 species
GAUGAAGAACGUAGCGAAAUGCGAUAAGUAAUGUGAAUUGCAGAAUUCAGUGAAUCAUCGAAUCUUUGAACGCACAUUGCGCCCGCCAGUAUUCUGGCGGGCAUGUCUGUUCGAGCGUCAUUUCAACCAUCAAGCCCCAGGCUUGUGUUGGGGACCUGCGGCUGCCGCAGGCCCUGAAAACCAGUGGCGGGCUCGCUGUCACACCGGGCGUAGUAGAUUUUAUCUCGCUCUGGGCGUGCUGCGGGUUCCGGCCGUUAAAAAACCCUUUUAACCCAAGGUUGACCUCGGAUCAGGUAGGAAUACCCGCUGAACUUAAGCAUAUCAAUAAGCGGAGGA